rnacentral:rRNA from 1 species
GACGAACGCUGGCGGCGUGCUUAACACAUGCAAGUCGAACGCUGAAGCUCAGCUUUUGUUGGGUGGAUGAGUGGCGAACGGGUGAGUAACACGUGAGUAACCUGCCCCCUUCUUUGGGAUAACGCCCGGAAACGGGUGCUAAUACUGGAUAUUCACUGGUCUUCGCAUGGGGGUUGGUGGAAAGGGUUUUUCUGGUGGGGGAUGGGCUCGCGGCCUAUCAGCUUGUUGGUGGGGUGAUGGCCUACCAAGGCUUUGACGGGUAGCCGGCCUGAGAGGGUGACCGGUCACAUUGGGACUGAGAUACGGCCCAGACUCCUACGGGGGGCAGCAGUGGGGAAUAUGGCACAAUGGGCGCAAGCCUGAUGCAGCGACGCCGCGUGAGGGAUGGAGGCCGUCGGGUUGUGAACCUCUUUCGCUCAUGGUCAAGCCGCAACAAUGGUUGUGGUGAGGGUAGUGGGUAAAGAAGCGCCGGCUAACUACGUG